rnacentral:lncRNA from 1 species
GAUCACUUUUGUUUCUUUUAGCCUGGCAGGCUUUCAAGGCUUGGACCUCUGUUAUGAAAAGGAAGUGACAUGUAUCUUGUUAGUGAAGAUAAUAUAAUGGUCUAGACUAUAUUAAGACUAUUACUAACAUCCAGAAUCUGCUAAACGUUUCUGUUCAAAAAAGCCAUGUCAACUGUCACAGGGCCACCAAUGCGACCAAAAUAAGAUUAGAUUCUGGUAGUGAUCUGAUAGUCAAGGCAAGCUGUUAAGGUCUGUUCUCCAUGCCCACUCAUUGAGAAUAAAUGCACUGCUCCAGAAUAUACAGUAGUACUGGAGCACCAUUUUGUGGUUUGUUUGAGGGCAGUCAAGCAGGGACAGUAGGAAGUUAGUCUGGCAAGAUUUACUAAACUAAGCCUUGAAUCCUAGAAUUGUCCACUUGAAGCCAGCUGCUGCACCCAUGUAAAUGCAUGAGCCAGGAUUUCGACAUUUAUGGAUUUCCCAUUAAAAAACGAUAUGGAAAAUAAGAGAAAGCCCAAGUACAAGAUAAAUGCACUUUAAUAGCAUAAAUCGAAACAAUGCUUUUAUUUUGCUCCCAAAACCCAAUGAAAAUGCUAAAUGUUAAUGACCAGUAGGAAUCAUGAUAUUCCUGGCACCUGUUAUAUGCAUCAUUUAUUAGCUUAUGUCACUGCCUUGGAUUAGAGUAGAUCUGGAAUGCGGUCUAAAGGACUAGAGGCAGAUAACAUGCAACCAUCCUUGGCAAUUAGGUCUUGAACUCUGUUCAGACAGAAUAUUAGGACCCAUUUAUUGUAUAAAUGUGGUCCAGACAACUUAUAUGGAUGCUUGAUGACCGUUACUCUCACCCUAUAGCAUAUAUCCUGAUGCAUGUCAGGGCAAAUCAUCACAAGGAAAAUGUAGUAAAAACUGAAGCAUAUGCAUAUCCUAAUUCUAAUACAAUGUAGUUCUUUUGCUCCAAACUUGUUUGUUCUCACUUUCACCUGGUAGGCCUUAUCCUGAACAUACUUUUUUUACUUUUCAUGCUCCCAAAAUGAACUCAAAGCACCCCUCAAACUUCAUGCUCGACCAGUUCAUCAGGGUUCAUUCCUCUAGCCAAGACAAAUUAGCCAACUCAAUCCUAAACUAUAUAACUAUAAUUACUGCGCUCUCAACUCAGUUCAUGAGGGACUUGCAAAUCAUGCACAUGUCAAUUAGCUGAAAGCAACCUUCUUAAAGACAUUUGGAUUUCCUUCACAGUACACAAUUCCUCGAAACUAACAAAUCUCGCUUCAGAAAAGAUAAAUCUGUGCUAAUAAAUUAGAGGGCUUACGUGCUUGGCAGGCCUUCCAGUUGCGGUUUGACUCCACAAGGCAGUCCUGCAAACAAAUAAUGGGAUCAAAAUCUGAGAGGCCUAAGAUUAGUAUAAGGAAACAAGCUACUUGUGAAUGGAGAAGGCCCAGGGGUGGGGAGAGGCCAGUGCCUGCAGAGAGAGAUAGAUCGUGGCGCACUCAUUAAGCUGCUUAACACUCUCGUCCUCCUCAUCCGCAUCUGUCACAUGUAAGGGCCGUUGGGACACUGACAGUGGCACAUUCCUAGUGUUGCUUGAGGAAGAUUCCAUUGCAAGCUUUGGUUUGGUUCAGUGGUGCCACCUCGAUGAGUCAGUUUUGGCCUUUCAAUUGCAGUCAAAUGGGUUGGACCUGUAAAAAUGCGCUAAAAUCUGUAAAGUUUAUUUAUGGCACCAUUUUAUCAAACAUUUAAAAAAGACUGAAAAGGAACUGCAAGAUGUUAGAGCAUUUUCUACAUACUACAGCUUUGCAAUAUUAAGAUACAACUUGAAUCAGAC